rnacentral:rRNA from 1 species
CCUACGGGUGGCUGCAGUGGGGAAUAUUGGACAAUGGGUGAAAGCCUGAUCCAGCCAUGCCGCGUGUGUGAAGAAGGCCUUCGGGUUGUAAAGCACUUUCAGUGGGGAAGAAAGCCUUGGGGCUAAUACCCUCGAGGAAGGACAUCACCCACAGAAGAAGCACCGGCUAACUCCGUGCCAGCAGCCGCGGUAAUACGGAGGGUGCGAGCGUUAAUCGGAAUUACUGGGCGUAAAGCGCGCGUAGGCGGUCUGAUAAGCCGGUUGUGAAAGCCCCGGGCUCAACCUGGGAACGGCAUCCGGAACUGUCAGGCUAGAGUGCAGGAGAGGAAGGUAGAAUUCCCGGUGUAGCGGUGAAAUGCGUAGAGAUCGGGAGGAAUACCAGUGGCGAAGGCGGCCUUCUGGACUGACACUGACGCUGAGGUGCGAAAGCGUGGGUAGCAAACAGGAUUAGAUACCCGAGUAGUC